rnacentral:rRNA from 1 species
GUAGGGAAUAUUGCGCAAUGGACGAAAGUCUGACGCAGCGACGCCGCGUGAGUGAUGAAGGCCUUAGGGUCGUAAAGCUCUGUUGAAUGGGAAGAAAAAAAUGACGGUACCAUUCGAGGAAGGACCGGCUAACUUCGUGCCAGCAGCCGCGGUAAUACGAGGGGUCCUAGCGUUGUUCGGAAUCAUUGGGCGUAAAGGGUGUGUAGGUGGUCAUGUAAGUCAGGUGUGAAAGCACCGGGCUCAACCCGGGAAGUGCACUUGAUACUGCGUGGCUUGAGUACCGAAGAGGGUAGUGGAAUUGCAGGUGUAGUGGUGAAAUACGUAGAUAUCUGGAGGAACACCGGUGGCGAAGGCGGCUACCUGGUCGAGUACUGACACUGAGACACGAAAGCAUGGGGAUCAAACAGGAUUAGAUACCCGGGUAGUCC